rnacentral:rRNA from 1 species
CCUACGGGCGGCAGCAGUGGGGAACAUUGCACAAUGGGCGCAAGCCUGAUGCAGCCAUGCCGCGUGUAUGAAGAAGGCCUUCUGGUUGUAAGGUACUUUCAGUCGGGAGGAAGGUGGUGAGCUUAAUACGCUCAUCAAUUGACGUUACCGACAGAAGAAGCACCGGCUAACUCCGUGCCAGCAGCCGCGGUAAUACGGAGGGUGCAAGCGUUAAUCGGAGUUACUGGGCGUAAAGCGCACGCUGGCGGUUGAUUGAGUCAGAUGUGAAAUCCCCGGGCUUAACCCGGGAAUUGCAUCUGAUACUGGUCAGCUAGAGUCUUGUAGAGGGGGGUAGAAUUCCAGGUGUAGCGGUGAAAUGCGUAGAGAUCUGGAGGAAUACCGGUGGCGAAGGCGGCCCCCUGGACAAAGACUGACGCUCAGGUGCGAAAGCGUGGGGAGCAAACAGGAUUAGAUACCCUUGUAGUC